rnacentral:lncRNA from 1 species
AUUGCAGUGCAGACACCAUUGGCCUCUCCUUAUAAAGGUCUCCCAGNNNNNNNNNNNNNNNNNNNNNNNNNNNNNNNNAACAGUCAAAAAUGCUCUUGAGAUUAAUGUUGCUGAUGCUUAUAGAAAGUAUUUGUAAUUGUUACCUAUGGUCACAAAUAGUAAAGGUAAAUCUGUGAGUAUAUGUCCAUGCCAUAGGGAUGAAAUGGGAAUGCACACUAUUCUUUUCUUGAGGAGUAAAUUUUUCAUUCAUGUUUCUGCAAGAGAGUAGGUUUUGGGAGUAAUGAGAAUGUUUUCAUUGAGAAGAAGGUUUUGUACUGGUCUAGAGUAAGUUGAUAUGUCUGCAUGUUGCAGUCCAUGUGGGAAUGCUAUGUAGGCUCUGAAGGUCGUAUAACUGUGGUUUUGACAAGCUCUUGGACAAAUGUAAUGAAAAGAACUUUUUAUUUAAUGUAAGUUGAAGAACUCAUUUUGGGAUUUUAUGGUAACUUUCUUUAUCCUCUGCACAGAGUAUGAAGUCUACAGUGUGUGUUUUUGUUUUUGUUUUUGUUUUUCCCCCUGCUGCUGUUGAAAUGGCUUGUUUAAAGAGCAUGAGAACUCUGACUUUUUCUGCUAAUGGGCUAAAAAAGGUUCCUCUCUGCCCAGCUCUCCAGCCUGUCCAGGUCUCGCUGAAUGGCAGCACAGAUUUCUGGUGUGUCAGUCACUAUUUCCAGCUUUGUAUCAUUGGUGUAUUUGUUGAGGGGAGGACUCUAUUCCUUUGUCCAGGUCAUUGAUGAAGAUAUUGAACAAUAAAAACAAAUAGCAAAAUAUUAUUGGAAAUUAAUCCAUUUCAUUCAUCAAAGUCUACAAGAUAAAAGAUAAAGUCAAUUCCUGGUGUAACUCUCCUGUGAGAUGCACCAGCCCUGCAGCAGGACGGUAUACACCGAGUACUAUCCUCUAACGUAGAGAAGACAACCUAACCAUGAGAAAUCUACCAGAGUUCCUGGAUAGUUUUUGAACAACAGAACUGAGGAAACAUUUGGUAUUUAAUUAAGAUUUAGCUCAUGGUUAAAGACACCAAACUGGCAAUUGUUUUAACACAUUAAGAUACUGCUGUAGAGGCAGGAGGGGGGAAUCCACUCCUCAGAACAGCACUGAGAGGGAAUAGAAAACUUUGCAUACCAUUACAGCCUGUCCUUCCAUUUUAUGUCCUACCCAAACUGACCAAAGAAAGAAAUCUCUUUGCUCCCCACAUCCCUUCAUUGCUCUUCCAAGGGAAGUCAUGGUGACUGAACCUCAUUAAUUUUCCAUGAUCUGAAUUUUUGUGUAGACCUGUGUAGUGCCAGGAGUUAGACUCGUUGAUCUGUAUGUGUCCCUUCCACCUCGGGAUAUUCUAUGAUUUCAUGACUCUAUGAUACCAAUUGGGCCUCCCAGAAGCAUGAAGUUGAGGCUCGUUUGGUGCUGUGCCAGUUUUUGCCAUAAAAGUUGGAGCAAAUGCUCCCUCAGUUUUACUGAAAGAAGGUGCAGAUAUUAUUAAUGCUUACACAUUGAAAUAAACUGUCAAUAUUUCACUGAAAGAUUGUUUUUACAAAGAACUUACGAUGUAAAAGGCCUUCUGUUAAAUCAUACAUUAAAAUAAAGCUUGCAUACAGUUCCCAUUUAUUAUGGUAAAAAUUGUGACAGAUGGAAAAACAUUAUUUCAUCAGAGAUUACAUUAAUGCAAUGUGUAUUUUUUUCAGUGACAGUAUGCUUGUACGCUUACUUUAUGGAUGGAAGAUAUUUAUUUAUAGCUGGCACAUAACUACACAACUAUUUACAUAUCUAACUGCCAUUGACAUGUCAAAAUACUAUUGUGUUUUUCUAUUGUGGUACAACUAGAACUUUCCCCAGACCUGGUAAAAAAAAUAUAAAAAAAUAUAAAAAAUAAUAAAAAAAUAAUAAAAAAAUAAAAAAGUAAACUGGUGCCCUUCAUUUUACUUAUAAGUCCUAAUUGUUUCAAAGCCUCAUGGAUCUCGUUCAAAACCUUAGGAAGAAGCUCAGUCCUUAUGCUAUUGUAGAAGGGAAAGAUCUAUUUCAGUCCAGGUAGAAAGAGAUUUCCAUUGCCCAGGAAAUAGCUCAUAAGCAGUUCCCAGGCUUUAAGAUAGCUAUCCAACUCUGGCCAGAACUCUUCGGUGCUCUAGUAUUAUAGGCAAAUAAAGAAACAGAAGUGUUAACAGCAAGGAAUUAGCACUUUCAAUGCUCCAUCAUCACCUCUCAUAGCUGCUAUCCAUAGGGAGAUAAUCAUUUAAACCAAUGAACUUCAUGACAUUUUGGUCCUCACAGUGCUUAAUCAACCUAAAUUGCACCUAGAAAAAAAAAAAAAGGGGGCGGGGGGGGCUUUGGCCACUGAGCACACAGGACCCAUUCCCACAGUAAUUGAGAGGAAUGACACAGACCUACUGCAUCAC